rnacentral:lncRNA from 1 species
CUUAAGCUGAUGCUAAGCAGAGCAGCCUGAGACCCUGAGUAGAUCUGAAAUGCAGGCAUCGACUAGGUCGAUAGAAGCCUUAUAUAAACAACGCAGAGGGAUCUAGGGACUCAGGGAGCCCCAGUCAGAGGGGAAAUCACAGCCCUGUCCUCAGGGAGCUCCCAGCUCAAAGAGGGUUAAAUAAUUCCUCAGCCAGAUCUUGUUUUCCUGAG